AUUGAAACACUUGUUCUCAUCCGAUCAUGGAAGUUAAGCAAUGUUGAGCCUGGUCAGUACCUAGAUGGGUGACUGUUUGAGAGUACCAGGUGCUGUAAG